AAUUGUCUAAAGAAGUCGUGAUGGACACAAGUAUAAAACCGACUAAAGAAACGAUACGGGAGCGCUGAUGAUUGUCUUACCUGUGUUGAAGACCUUUUCUUAUGAUUAGGGAUCCUAGAAGGUAGACUAUGUGCACCCACCUGUACAUAGGUAUAGGUUUUAUCGUUAGUCUUCGAACGCUUCUUUGGAUUUUUU
rnacentral:other from 1 species